GUGUAAGCAGCAAGCAGCACGCGGGUUGUGGGAUUGACUGACAAAAAAAAGUGUGAGUGCAGAGCUAAGGUUAAAAAGCUGCGCUGCCAGCGGCACUCUGCUACUGCGAAGCUGCAGCGUAUAAUGACAACCGGCAAUGACAACAGGCAAAACCUAUUUAAAUUGAAUUUAUCAUCUGUUACGUCUGAAUGUGUAUGUAUUUUUAUGUAAAACUUAUGUACACUUGUAUGCCAUUUUCCUCGCCUCGCACAUUUUGUAUUGCGUGCUUAGCUUCUAAGGCCCACCGAUGAUGAAUGAGUUCGAGCACAUGGGUGUGUGUAUGCAUGUGUGCGUGUGUAUAGUGUAUAUCACAUUCUAACGACUUUUCUUGGAUUUUCACACUUCACUUAUGCGUUAUUUCGUCGCUAUUAGCACAGUACCACCGUUGUAUCUUGCGUUACCUGUCGGAGCUCGCGGAACUCGAUGGGUUGUAAAAUUUGAUUUGUUUCGUCUGCGUUACAGACAUUUCUCCUUUGGUAUUUGUGCACCCAGGCUAGUUGCAGCGAUUAGAAACACGCGGUGAUUUACUUCGUGGUCCCUCAGAGCAACUGACUGAGAGCAAAAACAGCAGCGACGGAAAAACGUGCGCGUUCUCUUUGCAGUUGGACCACACGGCACAUAUAUACACUUAAAUGUACUUGGCCAGCAUGUUGUGGUUGUAAUCUAUGGAAUGGCAAUUGAAAAAUAAAUCAUAAACUAAU